GACGGGGGAUGCGAGCGUUAUCCGGAAUGAUUGGGCGUAAAGGGUCCGCAGGUGGCCCGGUCAGUCCGCUGUCAAAGCCUGGGGCUCAACCCUGGAGAGGCGGCGGAGACCACCGGGCUUGAGUCCGGUAGGGGCAGAGGGAAUUCCCGGUGGAGCGGUGAAAUGCGUAGAGAUCGGGAAGAACAUCGGUGGCGAAAGCGCUCUACUGGACCACAACUGACACUCAGGGACGAAAGCUAGGGGAGCGAAUGGG
rnacentral:rRNA from 1 species